GGUCCCAUCGUCUAGUGGCCCAGGACACCGCCCUUUCAAGGCGGCGGCACGGGUUCGAAUCCCGUUGGGACCGCCA
rnacentral:tRNA from 1 species